GUCAGUGUGGCCGAGUGGUUAAGGCGACAGACUAGAAUUCAUCUUAUUGGCUAGAGUUCUUAGCCUAUCUGUUGGGUUCGCCCGCACAGGUUCGAAUCCUGUCGCUGACG